ACGGAAGGCAGCAGUGGGGAAUAUUGCACAAUGGAGGAAACUCUGAUGCAGCAACGCCGCGUGAAGGAUGAAGGUCUUCGGAUCGUAAACUUCUGUCCUUAGGGAAGAUAAUGACGGUACCUUUGGAGGAAGCCCCGGCUAACUACGUGCCAGCAGCCGCGGUAAUACGUAGGGGGCGAGCGUUAUCCGGAAUUAUUGGGCGUAAAGAGUGCGUAGGUGGUUACCUAAGCAGGGGGUGAAAGGCAUUAGCUUAACUAAUGUUAGCCCCCUGAACUGGGCUACUUGAGUGCAGGAGGGGAAAGUGGAACUCCAUGUGUAGCGGUGAAAUGCGUAGAUAUAUGGAAGAACACCAGUGGCGAAGGCGACUUUCUGGACUGUUACUGACACUGAGGCACGAAAGUGUGGGGAGCAAACAGGAUUAGAUACCCUGGUA
rnacentral:rRNA from 1 species